CGGGUGAUUUAUGAGGUCUAUGUUUAUUUGGUGGGUUUGGGGAAAGGAGGUGGGUUGGUAGGGUGGGUCAGUAUAAUCAAUAAUAAGUAUUGAGAGAAGCAUAGUAUGUAUAAAUAGAUAU